rnacentral:rRNA from 1 species
CAGUAGCCGCGGGAAUACGUAGGUGGCAAGCGUUGUCCGGAAUUAUUGGGCGUAAAGGGCUCGCAGGCGGUUUCUUAAGUCUGAUGUGAAAGCCCCCGGCUCAACCGGGGAGGGUCAUUGGAAACUGGGAAACUUGAGUGCAGAAGAGGAGAGUGGAAUUCCACGUGUAGCGGUGAAAUGCGUAGAGAUGUGGAGGAACACCAGUGGCGAAGGCGACUCUCUGGUCUGUAACUGACGCUGAUGUGCGAAAGCGUGGGGAUCAAACAGGAUUAGAUACCCCGGUAGUCCCUGUCUCUUAUAC